rnacentral:lncRNA from 1 species
AAAGGAGAUUAACAACGAAACAUGUUUUGAACAAAACUGAGGAUGGUACUUGGAGAUGCUGACCUUCCUUCAGAGACCAGUUACUUCUUGUAAAUAUGUAAGCUGGAAACUCAGGAGUGAUGGGAGGGAGGCAUGCUUAACCAAAAAUACUCCUCCGGAAUAUCCAAGACAAAGACUUUCACAGGAACUAAGAUGCUGAGUUUGUCCAAAUGGAGUGGAGUGUUUUAUAAUUUUUCACGGCUAUUUUUCUUAUGCUCUGUGCAGAUGAUCAAAGCUGUUAAAAUGGACCUGAUGUAAAAUACUGCUUCCUGCAAUCUAUUGAAAUAAAGCUCUAAAAAAGGCGUGUGAGUUUUGAGCC